UUAACCGUAUAGGGGAGCCGGAGGGAAACCGAGUCUUAACCGGGCGUUAAGUUGCAGGGUAUAGACCCGAAACCCGGUGAUCUAGCCAUGGGCAGGUUGAAGGUUGGGUAACACUAACUGGAGGACCGAACCGACUAAUGUUGAAAAAUUAGCGGAUGACCUGUGGCUGGGGGUGAAAGGCCAAUCAAACCGGGAGAUAGCUGGUUCUCCCCGAAAGCUAUUUAGGUAGCGCCUCGUGAACUCAUCUCCGGGGGUAGAGCA
rnacentral:rRNA from 1 species